UUAAGUGAUUAAGCGUAUACGGUGGAUGCCUUGGCAGUUAGAGGCGAUGAAGGACGUGUAAGUCUGCGAAAAGCUGUGGUGAGUUGACAAAACGCGCUUGAGCCACAGAUGUCCGAAUGGGGAAACCCAGUCAUUUAUGACUAUCUGCACAUGAAUACAUAGUGUGUAGAGGCAAACGAGGGGAACUGAAACAUCUAAGUACCCUUAGGAAAAAAAA
rnacentral:rRNA from 1 species